AAAUUUGAAAUCUGGCGCAAGCCCGAGUUGUAAUUUGUAGAGGAUGCUUCUGGGCAGCGGCCGUUCUAAGUUCCUUGGAACAGGACGUCAUAGAGGGUGAGAAUCCCGUAUGUGACCGGCGCGCACCCUCCACGUAGCUCCUUCGAAGAGUCGAGUUGUUUGGGAAUGCAGCUCUAAAUGGGAGGUAAAUUUCUUCUAAAGCUAAAUACCGGCCAGAGACCGAUAGCGCACAAGUAGAGUGAUCGAAAGAUGAAAAGCACUUUGGAAAGAGAGUUAAAAAGCACGUGAAAUUGUUGAAAGGGAAGCGCUUGCAACCAGACUUCGCGGCGGUGUUCCGCCGGCCUUCUGGCCGGUCUACUCGCCGCCGCGAGGCCAACAUCGUCUGGGGCCGCCGGAUAAGACCGCGGGAAUGUGGCUCCCUCGGGAGUGUUAUAGCCCACGGUGAUGCGGCGAGCCUCGGGCGAGGUCCGCGCUUCGGCAAGGAUGUUGGCGUAAUGGUUGCCAGCGGCCCGUCUUGAAACACGGACCAAGGAGUCUAACAUCUAUGCGAGUGUUCGGGUGUCAAACCCCUACGCGUAAUGAAAGUGAACGGAGGUGGGAGCUUCGGCGCACCAUCGACCGAUCCUGAUGUCCUCGGAUGGAUUUGAGUAAGAGCAUAGCUGUUGGGACCCGAAAGAUGGUGAACUAUGCCUGAAUAGGGUGAAGCCAGAGGAAACUCUGG
rnacentral:rRNA from 1 species